GCAUAUCAAUAAGCGGAGGAAAAGAAACCAACAGGGAUUGCCCUAGUAACGGCGAGUGAAGCGGCAACAGCUCAAAUUUGAAAGCUGGCUCUCGGGCCCGCAUUGUAAUUUGCAGAGGAUGCUUCUGGCGACGCGCCUUCCGAGUUCCCUGGAACGGGACGCCAUAGAGGGUGAGAGCCCCGUCCGGUCGUGCGCCUAGCCUCUGUGAAGCUCCUUCGACGAGUCGAGUAGUUUGGGAAUGCUGCUCAAAAUGGGAGGUAUACGUCUUCUAAAGCUAAAUACCGGCCAGAGACCGAUAGCGCACAAGUAGAGUGAUCGAAAGAUGAAAAGCACUUUGAAAAGAGAGUUAAAAAGUACGUGAAAUUGUUGAAAGGGAAGCGCUCAUGACCAGACUUGGGCUGGCCCGAUCAUCCGGCGUUCUCGCCGGUGCACUCGGGCCGCCCAGGCCAGCAUCAGCUUUCGCCGGGGGAUAAAGGCGGCGGGAAUGUGGCUCCCUCGGGAGUGUUAUAGCCCGCCGUGCAAUACCCUGGUGGGGGCUGAGGUUCGCGCGUAUGCACGGAUGCUGGCGUAAUGGUUAUCAGCGACCCGUCUUGAAACACGGACCAA
rnacentral:rRNA from 1 species